rnacentral:lncRNA from 1 species
CAUAGAUGUAAUAAUGGAUUUAACAAUUCUCACCAAGCAAGUGUUUCACUCAAUCCUUGAGUUAAGAGAGUUUAAAUCAUCAUUCAAAGAUCAAGCACACUCUCUUUUUUAACCAAUCUCAUUCAUUCCCAACUUCUUCCUUUUUUCCUUUUUCAUUGAGUUCACUUAUACAUGCUUUUUCUUUUCUUCUUUUCUUUUUCUUUCUCAUGCAUUUUUCUUUUUCAUCUUUUGAACUCAAUGCUUUUUCUUUUGCCUUUUACUUUCCCCAUACAACCCCAAACUUGAACCUUUUCAAC